GGCGUAAAGCGAGCGCAGGCGGAAAAAUAAGUCUAAUGUGAAAGCCCUCGGCUUAACCGAGGAACUGCAUCGGAAACUGUUUUUCUUGAGUGCAGAAGAGGAGAGUGGAACUCCAUGUGUAGCGGUGGAAUGCGUAGAUAUAUGGAAGAACACCAGUGGCGAAGGCGGCUCUCUGGUCUGCAACUGACGCUGAGGCUCGAAAGCAUGGGUAGCGAACAGGAUUAGAUACCCUGGUAGUCCAUGCCGUAAACGAUGAGUGCUAAGUGUUGGGAGGUUUCCGCCUCUCAGUGCUGCAGCUAACGCAUUAAGCACUCCGCCUGGGGAGUACGACCGCAAGGUUGAAACUCAAAGGAAUUGACGGGGGCCCGCACAAGCGGUGGAGCAUGUGGUUUAAUUCGAUGCAACGCGAAGAACCUUACCAGGUCUUGACAUCUAGUGCAAUCUGUAGAGAUACGGAGUUCCCUUCGGGGACGCUAAGACAGGUGGUGCAUGGCUGUCGACAGCUCGUGUCGUGAGAUGUUGGGUUAAGUCCCGCAACGAGCGCAACCCUUAUUGUUAGUUGCCAGCAUUAAGUUGGGCACUCUAAUGAGACUGCCGGUGACAAACCGGAGGAAGGUGGGGAUGACGUCAAGUCAUCAUGCCCCUUAUGACCUGGGCUACACACGUGCUACAAUGGGCAGUACAACGAGACGCAAGCCUGCGAAGGCAAGCGAAUCUCUGAAAGCUGUUCUCAGUUCGGACUGCAGUCUGCAACUCGACUGCACGAAGCUGGAAUCGCUAGUAAUCGCAGAU
rnacentral:rRNA from 1 species